rnacentral:lncRNA from 1 species
UCUCAAUCGCCUUCACCUGCAGGCAGGCAGACACGGAAGGGGACGGGAAUGGCGACAGGCAGGCGUCGUCCGCGGCAGUGCAGGCGAUGACGAUGUGGGCUCGGCGGCGCGUCGCUUUUACGCAAGAAACCAUCCAUCGCCGGAAUAAAGAAGGCGCACGACGGAGUGCGUCUUCCCCCCUCUAGUUUAUCUGCUGCCCAAGCGACAGGUAUCGCAUCGCUCCCCGAUUUGCCAUGGAUCCGUCACGGCACCAUCUAGUUUAUCUAAUCCUGACCAUGAUUUCUCUUUCACCUGCUAACUGAGAGAUAGAUACGCCGGGGAUCUGUUGUGCGGCAAGAGCGACCUCACGCGAUGCGUUCAUGCAUGCCAAUAUGCCAUCACUGCAUCACAGCACCGCACCCCCUGCCGCCUUUUUCCAGCGAUCUUGUGUCGCGUUGUAGCCUUUGUAAAAAUUCAGUGAUUGUAGAUGCGUGGAUAUGUGGACUAGGAGCAGCUAGCGGUCUCAUUAGCGGCCGGGCCGGCUUGUUUGACGUUUGCGUUUUCAUUUUCGGACUUGAAAGGUUUUCACCUGGUCCAUGGAUCUACGGAUUGGUGUUACGAAUUACUAACUGCUUCUUUUUCCGCAUCAGCGACUCAGCGAGUAACUACAGCCGCCCCUACUUUUUUUCACGUCGUUGUUUAGUUGUUGCUUGCUAGCCCUUCCUGAUAGCCUCAUUUAUUCCCCACAGGCCCACACCCCCGCAUUACUGCGGCACCAGCACACGUUGCAGAAGCCAGAAGAGAAGGCCAUCCCAGAACGUCACGCUGAAAGGGGCAUCGAUGGUGAGCAAAAAGAGCGGACGGGACUAGUACAAAAUGACUGCAGACGCCCACGGGCCAUGCAUGAUGCGAUGCGCGGCGGCGGCGAUGCUUUUGCGCGACGGGCAUGUUUGGUUCGCUGCCUAACUUGCCACAAUUUGCCUAACUUUUAUGUCUAAGGUUAGUUCUUCAAUUCGAACGACUAACCUUAGGCAAAGUGUGGCAUAGUUAGCCACAAACCAAACAGGCCUAAAACGACUGCAGAGUGCAGACGCCACUCCCCCCUGCCCCUGAGUGCUGACCAUCAAAAGCGGCUUCGGGGUUCAUAUCCGUGCAUACAGAUGCCUUUGGCACCGGACACCACUCACCACAGGGAGGGAGGUUUUGUUUACGCGGUAAAGUGGCUCAAGUGCUCAACCGAAAUCCCUUUCUUUCUUUUUUUUCCCAAAGCGUUUGCGGAUAGACUCGUACUCGUACAGAGCUGCGUCGGAUCAACGCAUGACUGAAUCGAUCCGUGCACGUACGAAAGGGAAUAACGACGCGAAUGUUAUGUUAACAAAAGACGACGACGGACAGCCGUCAAUAAGAUACAUUGCAUUUUUAUGCAUAGAACCACUACUACUGUACGGAGUACUAGAGUACUCGAACCUCCUUCCCUACGUAGUUAAUUAAACAUGUUGCAAAUAGUAGUAUCACAGCAACCAGCGCUAGCUUACACAGUUCAGCAGAGCUCCUGCGUGUGUACUAGUAUGCACAUACACAUGCCACUGUACAUAUGCAACCUGCAUACACGCUUCACACUUUGCACAGUGUGCUGAAGGUUACAUAAUACGACGGUCGAGGGCGUGGCGUGGAAGAAAACGACCCGGCCGUCUGCCGAUUCCAGAGGACGGGAGGACGACGCUUGGACGGGAGCGAGCGGCGGACGAUGCUAACCCUGCCUGCGGCAUGCAGCAGAAUGCAAAUUCUCCGGGUGCAGUGCAGUGCAGUGCAG